rnacentral:rRNA from 1 species
UGAAGAGUUUGAUCAUGGCUCAGAUUGAACGCUGGCGGCAGGCCUAACACAUGCAAGUCGAACGGUAACAGGAAGCAGCUUGCUGCUUCGCUGACGAGUGGCGGACGGGUGAGUAAUGUCUGGGAAACUGCCUGAUGGAGGGGGAUAACUACUGGAAACGGUGGCUAAUACCGCAUAACGUCGCAAGACCAAAGAGGGGGACCUUCGGGCCUCUUGCCAUCAGAUGUGCCCAGAUGGGAUUAGCUUGUUGGUGAGGUAACGGCUCACCAAGGCGACGAUCCCUAGCUGGUCUGAGAGGAUGACCAGCCACACUGGAACUGAGACACGGUCCAGACUCCUACGGGAGGCAGCAGUGGGGAAUAUUGCACAAUGGGCGCAAGCCUGAUGCAGCCAUGCCGCGUGUAUGAAGAAGGCCUUCGGGUUGUAAAGUACUUUCAGCGGGGAGGAAGGUGUUGUGGUUAAUAACCGCAGCAAUUGACGUUACCCGCAGAAGAAGCACCGGCUAACUCCGUGCCAGCAGCCGCGGUAAUACGGAGGGUGCAAGCGUUAAUCGGAAUUACUGGGCGUAAAGCGCACGCAGGCGGUCUGUCAAGUCGGAUGUGAAAUCCCCGGGCUCAACCUGGGAACUGCAUUCGAAACUGGCAGGCUUGAGUCUUGUAGAGGGGGGUAGAAUUCCAGGUGUAGCGGUGAAAUGCGUAGAGAUCUGGAGGAAUACCGGUGGCGAAGGCGGCCCCCUGGACAAAGACUGACGCUCAGGUGCGAAAGCGUGGGGAGCAAACAGGAUUAGAUACCCUGGUAGUCCACGCCGUAAACGAUGUCUACUUGGAGGUUGUGCCCUUGAGGCGUGGCUUCCGGAGCUAACGCGUUAAGUAGACCGCCUGGGGAGUACGGCCGCAAGGUUAAAACUCAAAUGAAUUGACGGGGGCCCGCACAAGCGGUGGAGCAUGUGGUUUAAUUCGAUGCAACGCGAAGAACCUUACCUGGUCUUGACAUCCACAGAAGAAUCCAGAGAUGGAUUUGUGCCUUCGGGAACUGUGAGACAGGUGCUGCAUGGCUGUCGUCAGCUCGUGUUGUGAAAUGUUGGGUUAAGUCCCGCAACGAGCGCAACCCUUAUCCUUUGUUGCCAGCGAUUAGGUCGGGAACUCAAAGG